GGAGAAUGGAGAACCCAUUACAUUGCAUCCAGUAACAUUGCGAAGAUCACUGAGAAUGGGCCAUUUCACAUUUAUGCACGUUACAUUCAGUUUAAUGCAGACAACACAGUAGAUGUCGACUUUUAUAUCAAGUCAAACGGAGAAUGCAUAAAAAAACACGAAACAGCAGAAGCAACGAAAUUUCACUUAUACUGCUGGAUAUGACUGUCCAGAGGAGUGAACGAAAGUGACUUGGAUACAGACACUUUUGAAGAGUCCCUGAGACAAGACACAUCCUCACCUCCGUGAAAUCAACAUCAACAAUACGAAGAGGACCUUCUUGGUUCCUGAUUAACAUGAUCCUUCUCUCUUCACACUCACACUUCCUCUCCCAUCUCAUCUUUCCUGGUCACUAAAUCACAUCCUGUCUGGUGGUAUUUGAUUUCUGAGGGUUUAAAUAAACUGAUUUAA